rnacentral:rRNA from 1 species
GAUGAACGCUAGCGGCAGGCUUAACACAUGCAAGUCGAGGGGCAGCGGGGGCUUCGGCCCGCCGGCGACCGGCAAACGGGUGCGGAACACGUACGCAAUCUACCCUUGUCUGGGGCAUAGCCCGGAGAAAUCCGGAUUAACACCCCAUAAUAUAUUUUGAAGGCAUCUUUAGGAUAUUAAAACUCCGGUGGACAAGGAUGAGCGUGCGUCCCAUUAGCUAGUUGGUAGGGUAAAGGCCUACCAAGGCGACGAUGGGUAGCUGGUGUGAGAGCACGACCAGCCACACGGGCACUGAGACACGGGCCCGACCCCUACGGGAGGCAGCAGUGAGGAAUAUUGGUCAAUGGACGCAAGUCUGAACCAGCCAUGCCGCGUGAAGGAUGAAGGCCUUCUGGGUUGUAAACUUCUUUUAUUGGGGAAGAAACCUCUGAUUUCUAUUAGAGCCGACGGUACCCAAGGAAUAAGCACCGGCUAACUCCGUGCCAGCCGCCGCCGUAAGAC